UGCGGAAGGAUCAUUAUUGAAUUUAUU
rnacentral:rRNA from 1 species